CGGGUGCGAAGUCCGGAUGAGAAAAACUGUGCCCGAGGCCUUGAAAACGGCCUGAGCCCGAAGGUUGAGGGACGUUUUCAAGACCGAGGGCACAGUUUUUCUCAUCCGGACUGACGCUGCCG